rnacentral:lncRNA from 1 species
AGAACUGCAGAUAGUACAGCUUCCACAGGAGCAAGGGAUGUCUGAGCACAAGUGGCUGAGUUCCGAGUGACUUUAUGAAGCACUUUCUACCUUCCUCUCCGGCAUGAAAACAGGGAUUCUGCACCUGCAUCAUGGACAGUCUGGCAAAAGCCUCUGCUCUGCCUCCGGGGACAAGAAACUAGAGCAAAUAACCGUUUUGAAAUUAGAUCCUGGCAAAAUUACCAACAAUCAAUGAUGGAAACUGAAGGGAGAUUGAUUUAAAUCUUCAAUGACAGUUGUACAGAAGUUGAAGAAACACGUCAUCUUUCCAAAGAAGAGUGAGUAGCUUGGUUGGUGGUACCCUAAAAUUAGGGCAUGAUUAAGGUACGUCAUUUCUUUUAGUUCAAUCAAAGUGCUUUGCUGUUUCCAUUUCAGAGAAUUUCUUAUUCUUUUUUUCAAUUUCUCUCUCUUCCUCUUCUUCCUCUCAUUAGUAGAUGUCUUUUAUAAUUGAUGUCAUUUACUGUCCUUUCAUCAAAUGUAUGCCACAUCACUUAGGCGAACCAGCAGACAGGGCACCAAAAUACACAUUAGAGGAGACUGGCUUCCAUGAGACGCUUCGACUGUCUCAUCGGGGCACUUGUAAUAAGCAUCUUGGUGCCACUGAAUGCAAUGCUGUAUUCAAAUAAUAGCUUUCAUCUUCACUCUUUUUAAAUAUAAAAGUAAACCUUGAAGCCCUUUGAAGGACCUAACCAAACAACAUACCUAUGAAAAUAGAUC